UUUCCGUAGGUGAACCUGCGGAAGGAUCAUUACUUAGUUUUGAAUGAAGUUGUUCUGGUCUUUCGGGGCAAGUGAACGCUUCUCUCAAUUCAUCUUACACCUGUGCACCUAUCGGGGAAGACUUGGAUCUAAGUUGGGUCACGACGGCGAUCUACAGUCUCCUCUUUAUACCAAAUAACAGUUUUAGGAAGUCUGUUUUGCUUGAUGCAACCUUAAAUAAAUACAACUAUCAACAACGGAUCUCUUGGCUCUCGCAUUGAUGAAGAACGCAGC
rnacentral:misc_RNA from 1 species